UACGGAGGAUGCAAGCGUUAUCCGGAUUUAUUGGGUUUAAAGGGUGCGUAGGCGGUCGGAUAAGUUAGAGGUGAAAUCCCGGGGCUCAACUUCGGAAUUGCCUCUGAUACUGUUCGGCUAGAGAGUAGUUGCGGUAGGCGGAAUGUAUGGUGUAGCGGUGAAAUGCUUAGAGAUCAUACAGAACACCGAUUGCGAAGGCAGCUUACCAAGCUACUUCUGACGUUGAGGCACGAAAGCGUGGGGAGCAAACAGG
rnacentral:rRNA from 1 species